UCUUGGGAAGCGGUCUUUUUGGAAGGCGAUGAGCAAGGCGGGUGUGGACAUGGGAGUGGAAGAGAGCGAGAGCACAGGUCUCCAAGGGGGCAGCUAGCUUUCCAGACAGGCCGGGGAGAAGCCGAGGGAGUCAUCUAAGGAGCCUCUCCAGGAAGAGAGAUAAACCUCUUCGGCUAUCUCUGUCAAGGCAGUCUUCUCCUUCUCCAUCGUUCUUCCUCCUUUCUCCCUCCGCUCCCCAGUCCUCUCUUCUCCCCGUUCCUCUCUGUCUUUCUCUCUCCCUUCCCUUUGGUCCCCUGACCUCCCUUCUUUUCCACCCCUCUUCCUUCUACUCAGUGGUAAUAGUCGAUAUCAGCUUUGGAUUUCUUCUCUGAAAAACAGCUAAUUUUUAUUUUUCCUCUCGACAUGGGGUCUGUUUUUACUUGUCAUUAAUACUAACUCCUUUGGAAGUUUAGAGCUAGAUUUAGUGGAUGACUGUGGGCGUCAGCUGAAGAUAGUAUUUUAAGAAACACACCAUCUGGGAAUAGCAGUUUUUGAAGCUUCAUUGAAGUUUGCAUGGCCAUGUGACAGCUCUGACCAGUGUGUGCUAGUCCCAUUGUAUUCACUUGCUAUUUCUUCCAGCCCAGAAAAUGGCUAUGAGAGCAUCUGUCUUUCCACAUGUGAUAACAGGCAUGAAGGUAAAAGUCAACACACUGAGAAUGAGGAAAUAAAAUUGGUGAAAAGAGUUGAGAUCCUCCAUGUCUUCAUUAGGCUGCUAUAUUAUCCUUGGACUUCUAGAGGAGAGACCAAUAACCCUUUCCUGUUUAAGUCCCUGUCAUUACCUGUCAGAUUGUUCACAAUGAACCUUUUCUUACAGUCAAAGAGCCAGAACCAGAGCGAAAUGGAUUAGAUGCAGCACGCAGAGGUGCAGGCAGAGCAGAGAGGAGAGAAUGAUGUCAGCACAGACACUGUCAGAUGCCAGGAUAUCCAAAAACUGCUCCACCAGCUGAAAAACUACAAUCAAUUUACAGUACAAAAGCAGAGAACAAUUUUUAAAAAGAAAGUUGGUGAUCAUGGUACCUGAUGACACUGGAAUGACCUCUUUUGAGGGACUAUCUCUUAAAGAGAAGCUACAACUCUUCAUGCCCUGGCUCACUCCCCAUGGUCUUCAAUCAUAUAGUAGAGUCGUAUUUCAGCACAUUUUAGCCUUUGCUACUUAAUACCAGCAAUAACAACGGGUUGCCUGUAUGAAAUUCACUUUAAGGAUGCACAUAAUUUUAGUUUGGACUGAGUGUAUUGAUGCGGCUACACUCAUUAGAAAUUCUUAUUUCUAUAAUCAAUAUUCUGGUUCAGAUAGCUGAAAGAGUUUCUGAUUGUUCUGUUUAUUGAUUUAAGCAUAGACUCCACUGUGGCUUAUGUGAGAAUGGAUCUUGGACAGUAUAUGAAUUCUCUUUCAGUACUGGCACUUUUCUACUUUCUCAAUUUCUCAGACAAACACAUUUGAUCCUGACAGCCGGCAGAAACCUAUUACUUAAAUUCUGUCAUUGAAAAGCAUCUGUCCAGGCUGGGGAUUUAGCUCAGUGGUUUCGCCGCCUGCUGCGCAAGCGCAAGGACCCAAGUUCGAUCCCCAGUACCAAAAAAAAAAAAAAAAGAAGAAGAAAAGCAUCUGUCCUAGAACUUGAA